UACGAGGGGUGCAAGCGUUAUUCGGAUUUACUGGGCGUAAAGGGUGUGUAGACGGCAUGUUAAGCCUGUUGUUAAAUUUCCCGGCCUAACUGGGAAUAUGCGAUGGGAACUGGCGUGCUAGAGGAUGGAAGAGAGAAGUGGAAUUCCCGGAGUAGCGGUAAAAUGCGUAGAUCUCGGGAGGAACACCAAUGGCGAAGGCAGCUUCUUGGUCCAUUCCUGACGUUGAUACACGAAAGCGUGGGGAGCAAACAGG
rnacentral:rRNA from 1 species